rnacentral:misc_RNA from 1 species
GAUGAAGAACGUAGUGAAAUGCGAUAAGUAAUGUGAAUUGCAGAAUUCAGUGAAUCAUCGAAUCUUUGAACGCACAUUGCGCCCGCCAGUAUUCUGGCGGGCAUGCCUGUUCGAGCGCCAUUACAACCCUCAAGCCCCCCGGCUUGGUGUUGGGGACCGGCCACCGGUGCCCUGCUGCUUCCGCGGCAGGCGCACCCGGCCGCCCCCGAAAUGAAUUGGCGGCCCCGUCGCGGCCUCCCUCUGCGUAGUAGCACACAUCUCGCAGCUGGAGCGCGGCGCGGCCACUGCCGUAAAACGCACCAACUUUUUUUACAGUUGACCUCGAAUCAGGUAGGAAUACCCGCUGAACUUAAGCAUAUCAAUAAGCGGAGGA